AGCUUUGUGCAGUGGCAGUAUUGUAGUCAAUGUGGUUUAUCCGAAGCUGGAUUAUUGCUAAUUGAAAAUUUUUCCCAAUAACCCGCUAUGACAACUUGAAAUAUAGUCGGCAUUGGCAAUUAAAAAAGAAAAGAAAA